UACAGAGGGUGCGAGCGUUGUUCGGAAUUAUUGGGCGUAAAGGGUGCGUAGGCGGCCCUGUAAGUAUGGUGUGAAAUCUCCCGGCUUAACUGGGAGGGUGCGCUAUAGACUGCGGGGCUCGAGUGUGGGAGAGGAAAGUGGAAUUCCUGGUGUAGCGGUGAAAUGCGUAGAUAUCAGGAGGAACACCGGUGGUGUAAACGGCUUUCUGGACCACAACUGACGCUGAGGCACGAAAGCGUGGGUAGCAAACAGG
rnacentral:rRNA from 1 species